rnacentral:rRNA from 1 species
GCCUAACACAUGCAAGUCGAGCGGUAGAGAGAAGCUUGCUUCUCUUGAGAGCGGCGGACGGGUGAGUAAAGCCUAGGAAUCUGCCUGGUAGUGGGGGAUAACGUUCGGAAACGGACGCUAAUACCGCAUACGUCCUACGGGAGAAAGCAGGGGACCUUCGGGCCUUGCGCUAUCAGAUGAGCCUAGGUCGGAUUAGCUAGUUGGUGAGGUAAUGGCUCACCAAGGCGACGAUCCGUAACUGGUCUGAGAGGAUGAUCAGUCACACUGGAACUGAGACACGGUCCAGACUCCUACGGGAGGCAGCAGUGGGGAAUAUUGGACAAUGGGCGAAAGCCUGAUCCAGCCAUGCCGCGUGUGUGAAGAAGGUCUUCGGAUUGUAAAGCACUUUAAGUUGGGAGGAAGGGCAUUAACCUAAUACGUUAGUGUUUUGACGUUACCGACAGAAUAAGCACCGGCUAACUCUGUGCCAGCAG